CUUAACACAUGCAAGUCGAACGGAAAGGCCCUGCUUUUGUGGGGUGCUCGAGUGGCGAACGGGUGAGUAACACGUGAGUAACCUGCCCUUGACUUUGGGAUAACUUCAGGAAACUGGGGCUAAUACCGGAUAGGAGCUCCUGCUGCAUGGUGGGGGUUGGAAAGUUUCGGCGGUUGGGGGUGGACUCGCGGCUUAUCAGCUUGUUGGUGGGGUAGUGGCUUACCAAGGCUUUGACGGGUAGCCGGCCUGAGAGGGUGACCGGCCACAUUGGGACUGAGAUACGGCCCAGACUCCUACGGGAGGCAGCAGUGGGGAAUAUUGCACAAUGGGCGGAAGCCUGAUGCAGCAACGCCGCGUGCGGGAUGACGGCCUUCGGGUUGUAAACCGCUUUCGCCUGUGACGAAGCGUGAGUGACGGUAAUGGGUAAAGAAGCACCGGCUAACUACGUGCCAGCAGCCGCGGUGAUACGUAGGGUGCGAGCGUUGUCCGGAUUUAUUGGGCGUAAAGGGCUCGUAGGUGGUUGAUCGCGUCGGAAGUGUAAUCUUGGGGCUUAACCCUGAGCGUGCUUUCGAUACGGGUUGACUUGAGGAAGGUAGGGGAGAAUGGAAUUCCUGGUGGAGCGGUGGAAUGCGCAGAUAUCAGGAGGGACACCAGUGGCGAAGGCGGUUCUCUGGGCCUUUCCUGACGCUGAGGAGCGAAAGCGUGGGGAGCGAACAGGCUUAGAUACCCUGGUAGUCCACGCUGUAAACGGUGGGUACUAGGUGUGGGGUCCAUUCCACGGGUUCCGUGCCGUAGCUAACGCUUUAAGUACCCCGCCUGGGGAGUACGGCCGCAAGGCUAAAACUCAAAGGAAUUGACGGGGCCCCGCACAAGCGGCGGAGCAUGCGGAUUAAUUCGAUGCAACGCGUAGAACCUUACCUGGGUUUGACAUGGAUCGGGAGUGCUCAGAGAUGGGUGUGCCUCUUUUGGGGUCGGUUCACAGGUGGUGCAUGGCUGUCGUCAGCUCGUGUCGUGAGAUGUUGGGUUAAGUCCCGCAACGAGCGCAACCCUUGUUCACUGUUGCCAGCACGUUAUGGUGGGGACUCAGUGGAGACCGCCGGGGUCAACUCGGAGGAAGGUGGGGAUGACGUCAAGUCAUCAUGCCCCUUAUGUCCAGGGCUUCACGCAUGCUACAAUGGCUGGUACAGAGAGUGGCGAGCCUGUGAGGGUGAGCGAAUCUCGGAAAGCCGGUCUCAGUUCGGAUUGGGGUCUGCAACUCGACCUCAUGAAGUCGGAGUCGCUAGUAAUCGCAGAUCAGCAACGCUGCGGUGAAUACGUUCCCGGGGCUUGUACACACCGCCCGUCAAGUCAUGAAAGUUGGUAACACCCGAAGCCGGUGGCCUAACCGUUGUGGGGGAGCCGUCGAAGGUGGGACUGGUGAUUAGGACUAAGUCGU
rnacentral:rRNA from 1 species